AGCGAACGCUGGCGGCAGGCCUAACACAUGCAAGUCGAACGAACCCUUCGGGGUUAGUGGCGGACGGGUGAGUAACACGUGGGAACGUGCCCUUUGGUUCGGAACAACUCAGGGAAACUUGAGCUAAUACCGGAUGUGCCCUUCGGGGGAAAGAUUUAUCGCCAUUGGAGCGGCCCGCGUCUGAUUAGCUAGUUGGUGAGGUAAAGGCUCACCAAGGCGACGAUCAGUAGCUGGUCUGAGAGGAUGAUCAGCCACAUUGGGACUGAGACACGGCCCAAACUCCUACGGGAGGCAGCAGUGGGGAAUCUUGCGCAAUGGGCGAAAGCCUGACGCAGCCAUGCCGCGUGAAUGAUGAAGGUCUUAGGAUUGUAAAAUUCUUUCACCGGGGACGAUAAUGACGGUACCCGGAGAAGAAGCCCCGGCUAACUUCGUGCCAGCCGCCGCUGUAAUAC
rnacentral:rRNA from 1 species